GUUAUAUGGUCAAGUGAAGAAGCGCAUACGGUGGAUGCCUUGGCAGUCAGAGGCGAUGAAAGACGUGGUAGCCUGCGAAAAGCUUCGGGGAGUCGGCAAACAGACUUUGAUCCGGAGAUCUCUGAAUGGGGGAACCCACCUAGGAUAACCUAGGUAUCUUGUACUGAAUCCAUAGGUGCAAGAGGCGAACCAGGGGAACUGAAACAUCUAAGUACCCUGAGGAAAAGAAAUCAACCGAGAUUCCCUUAGUAGUGGCGAGCGAACGGGGAUUAGCCCUUAAGCUUCAUUGAUUUUAGCGGAACGCUCUGGAAAGUGCGGCCAUAGUGGGUGAUAGCCCCGUACGCGAAAGGAUCUUUGAAGUGAAAUCGAGUAGGACGGAGCACGAGAAACUUUGUCUGAACAUGGGGGGACCAUCCUCCAAGGCUAAAUACUACUGACUGACCGAUAGUGAACCAGUACCGUGAGGGAAAGGCGAAAAGAACCCGGAGAGGGGAGUGAAAUAGAACCUGAAACCGUAUGCGUACAAGCAGUGGGAGCCUACUUGUUAGGUGACUGCGUACCUUUUGUAUAAUGGGUCAGCGACUUAUAUUCAGUGGCAAGCUUAACCGUAUAGGGUAGGCGUAGCGAAAGCGAGUCUUAAUAGGGCGUUUAGUCGCUGGGUAUAGACCCGAAACCGGGCGAUCUAUCCAUGAGCAGGUUGAAGGUUAGGUAACACUGACUGGAGGACCGAACCCACUCCCGUUGAAAAGGUAGGGGAUGACUUGUGGAUCGGAGUGAAAGGCUAAUCAAGCUCGGAGAUAGCUGGUUCUCCUCGAAAGCUAUUUAGGUAGCGCCUCAUGUAUCACUCUGGGGGGUAGAGCACUGUUUCGGCUAGGGGGUCAUCCCGACUUACCAAACCGAUGCAAACUCCGAAUACCCAGAAGUGCCGAGCAUGGGAGACACACGGCGGGUGCUAACGUCCGUCGUGAAAAGGGAAACAACCCAGACCGCCAGCUAAGGUCCCAAAGUUGUGGUUAAGUGGUAAACGAUGUGGGAAGGCUUAGACAGCUAGGAGGUUGGCUUAGAAGCAGCCAUCCUUUAAAGAAAGCGUAAUAGCUCACUAGUCGAGUCGGCCUGCGCGGAAGAUGUAACGGGGCUCAAACCACACACCGAAGCUGCGGGUGUCACGUAAGUGACGCGGUAGAGGAGCGUUCUGUAAGCCUGUGAAGGUGAGUUGAGAAGCUUGCUGGAGGUAUCAGAAGUGCGAAUGCUGACAUGAGUAACGACAAUGGGUGUGAAAAACACCCACGCCGAAAGACCAAGGGUUCCUGCGCAACGUUAAUCGACGCAGGGUUAGUCGGUUCCUAAGGCGAGGCUGAAAAGCGUAGUCGAUGGGAAACAGGUUAAUAUUCCUGUACUUCUGGUUACUGCGAUGGAGGGACGGAGAAGGCUAGGCCAGCUUGGCGUUGGUUGUCCAAGUUUAAGGUGGUAGGCUGAAAUCUUAGGUAAAUCCGGGGUUUCAAGGCCGAGAGCUGAUGACGAGUCGUCUUUUAGAUGACGAAGUGGUUGAUGCCAUGCUUCCAAGAAAAGCUUCUAAGCUUCAGGUAACCAGGAACCGUACCCCAAACCGACACAGGUGGUCGGGUAGAGAAUACCAAGGCGCUUGAGAGAACUCGGGUAAGGAACUAGGCAAAAUGGCACCGUAACUUCGGGAGAAGGUGCGCCGGCUAGGGUGAAGGAUUUACUCCGUAAGCUCUGGCUGGUCGAAGAUACCAGGCCGCUGCGACUGUUUAUUAAAAACACAGCACUCUGCAAACACGAAAGUGGACGUAUAGGGUGUGACGCCUGCCCGGUGCCGGAAGGUUAAUUGAUGGGGUUAGCGCAAGCGAAGCUCUUGAUCGAAGCCCCGGUAAACGGCGGCCGUAACUAUAACGGUCCUAAGGUAGCGAAAUUCCUUGUCGGGUAAGUUCCGACCUGCACGAAUGGCGUAACGAUGGCGGCGCUGUCUCCACCCGAGACUCAGUGAAAUUGAAAUCGCUGUGAAGAUGCAGUGUAUCCGCGGCUAGACGGAAAGACCCCGUGAACCUUUACUGUAGCUUUGCACUGGACUUUGAGCCUGCUUGUGUAGGAUAGGUGGGAGGCUUUGAAGCGUGGACGCCAGUUCGCGUGGAGCCAUCCUUGAAAUACCACCCUGGCAUGCUUGAGGUUCUAACUCUGGUCCGUAAUCCGGAUCGAGGACAGUGUAUGGUGGGCAGUUUGACUGGGGCGGUCUCCUCCUAAAGAGUAACGGAGGAGUACGAAGGUGCGCUCAGACCGGUCGGAAAUCGGUCGCAGAGUAUAAAGGCAAAAGCGCGCUUGACUGCGAGACAGACACGUCGAGCAGGUACGAAAGUAGGUCUUAGUGAUCCGGUGGUUCUGUAUGGAAGGGCCAUCGCUCAACGGAUAAAAGGUACUCCGGGGAUAACAGGCUGAUACCGCCCAAGAGUUCAUAUCGACGGCGGUGUUUGGCACCUCGAUGUCGGCUCAUCACAUCCUGGGGCUGAAGCCGGUCCCAAGGGUAUGGCUGUUCGCCAUUUAAAGUGGUACGCGAGCUGGGUUUAGAACGUCGUGAGACAGUUCGGUCCCUAUCUGCCGUGGACGUUUGAGAUUUGAGAGGGGCUGCUCCUAGUACGAGAGGACCGGAGUGGACGAACCUCUGGUGUUCCGGUUGUCACGCCAGUGGCAUUGCCGGGUAGCUAUGUUCGGAAAAGAUAACCGCUGAAAGCAUCUAAGCGGGAAACUUGCCUCAAGAUGAGAUCUCACUGGGAACUUGAUUCCCCUGAAGGGCCGUCGAAGACUACGACGUUGAUAGGCUGGGUGUGUAAGCGUUGUGAGGCGUUGAGCUAACCAGUACUAAUUGCCCGUGAGGCUUGACCAUAUAACACCCAAACA
rnacentral:rRNA from 1 species